rnacentral:rRNA from 1 species
UACGUAGGGUGCAAGCGUUGUCCGGAAUUAUUGGGCGUAAAGAGCUCGUAGGCGGUUUGUCGCGUCUGCUGUGAAAACGCGAGGCUCAACCUCGCGCCUGCAGUGGGUACGGGCAGACUAGAGUGCGGUAGGGGAGAUUGGAAUUCCUGGUGUAGCGGUGGAAUGCGCAGAUAUCAGGAGGAACACCGAUGGCGAAGGCAGAUCCCUGGGCCGUUACUGACGCUGAGGAGCGAAAGCGUGGGGAGCGAACAGG